rnacentral:rRNA from 1 species
AUUGAACGCUGGCGGCAGGCCUAACACAUGCAAGUCGAGCGGAGCGGCGGACGGGUGAGUAAUGCCUAGGAAUCUGCCUGGUAGUGGGGGAUAACGUCCGGAAACGGGCGCUAAUACCGCAUACUAUCAGAUGAGCCUAGGUCGGAUUAGCUAGUUGGUGGGUGAAAGGCCUACCAAGGCGACGAUCCGUAACUGGUCUGAGAGGAUGAUCAGUCACCAUGGAACUGAGAAACGGUCCCGAUUCCUAGGGGAGGCAGAAGUGGGGAAUAUUGGAACAUGGGCGAAAGCCUGAUCCAGCCAUGCCGGGUGUGUGAAGAAGGUUUUCGGAUUGGAAGGCCCUUUAAGUUGGGAGGCGGUACCAACAGAAUAAGCACCGGCUAACUUCGUGCCAGCAGCCGCGGUAAUAC